AGUGAACGCUGGCGGUAGGCCUAACACAUGCAAGUCGAACGGCAGCACAGUAAGAGCUUGCUCUUACGGGUGGCGAGUGGCGGACGGGUGAGGAAUACAUCGGAAUCUACUUUUUCGUGGGGGAUAACGUAGGGAAACUUACGCUAAUACCGCAUACGACCUACGGGUGAAAGCAGGGGAUCUUCGGACCUUGCGCGAUUGAAUGAGCCGAUGUCGGAUUAGCUAGUUGGCGGGGUAAAGGCCCACCAAGGCGACGAUCCGUAGCUGGUCUGAGAGGAUGAUCAGCCACACUGGAACUGAGACACGGUCCAGACUCCUACGGGAGGCAACAGUGGGGAAUAUUGGACAAUGGGCCCAAGCCUGAUCCAGCCAUACCGCGUGGGUGAAGAAGGCCUUCGGGUUGGUAAGCCCUUUUGUUGGGAAAGAAAAGCAGCAGGUUAAUACCCCGCUGUUCUGACGGUACCCAAAGAAUAAGCACCGGCUAACUUCGUG
rnacentral:rRNA from 1 species